rnacentral:rRNA from 1 species
AAUAUUUGAUAAUGGGGGCAACCCUGAUCCAGCCAUGCCGCGUGUGUGAAGAAGGUCUUCGGAUUGUAAAGCACUUUAAGUUGGGAGGAAGGGCGCUAGGUUGAUACCCUGAAGUUUUGACGUUACCAACAGAAUAAGCAUCGGCUAACGCUGUGCCAGCAGCCGCGGUAAGACAGAGGGUGCAAGCGUUAAUCGGGAUUACUGGGCGUAAAGCGCGCGUAGGUGGUUCAGUAAGAUGGGUGUGAAAUCCCCGGGCUUAACCUGGGAACUGCUUUCAUAACUGCUGAGCUAGAGUACGGUAGAGGGUAGUGGAAUUUCCUGUGUAGCGGUGAAAUGCGUAGAUAUAGGAAGGAACACCAGUGGCGAAGGCGACUACCUGGACUGAUACUGACACUGAGGUGCGAAAGCGUGGGGAGCAAAC